UACUGGAAACGGUGGCUAAUACCGCAUAACGUCGCAAGACCAAAGAGGGGGACCUUCGGGCCUCUUGCCAUCAGAUGUGCCCAGAUGGGAUUAGCUAGUUGGUGAGGUAACGGCUCACCAAGGCGACGAUCCCUAGCUGGUCUGAGAGGAUGACCAGCCACACUGGAACUGAGACACGGUCCAGACUCCUACGGGAGGCAGCAGUGGGGAAUAUUGCACAAUGGGCGCAAGCCUGAUGCAGCCAUGCCGCGUGUAUGAAGAAGGCCUUCGGGUUGUAAAGUACUUUCAGCGGGGAGGAAGGUGUUGUGGUUAAUAACCGCAGCAAUUGACGUUACCCGCAGAAGAAGCACCGGCUAACUCCGUGCCAGCAGCCGCGGUAAUACGGAGGGUGCAAGCGUUAAUCGGAAUUACUGGGCGUAAAGCGCACGCAGGCGGUCUGUCAAGUCGGAUGUGAAAUCCCCGGGCUCAACCUGGGAACUGCAUUCGAAACUGGCAGGCUUGAGUC
rnacentral:rRNA from 1 species